AGGGGAAUAUUGCACAAUGGGCGCAAGCCUGAUGCAGCCAUGCCGCGUGUAUGAAGAAGGCCUUCGGGUUGUAAAGUACUUUCAGCGAGGAGGAAGGCGUUGUGGUUAAUAACCGCAGCGAUUGACGUUACUCGCAGAAGAAGCACCGGCUAACUCCGUGCCAGCAGCCGCGGUAAUACGGAGGGUGCAAGCGUUAAUCGGAAUUACUGGGUGUAAAGCGCACGCAGGCGGUCUGUCAAGUCGGAUGUGAAAUCCCCGGGCUCAACCUGGGAACUGCAUCCGAAACUGGCAGGCUUGAGUCUUGUAGAGGGGGGUAGAAUUCCAGGUGUAGCGGUGAAAUGCGUAGAGAUCUGGAGGAAUACCGGUGGCGAAGGCGGCCCCCUGGACAAAGACUGACGCUCAGGUGCGAAAGCGUGGGGAGCAAACA
rnacentral:rRNA from 1 species